GACGAACCUUGCUAACGUUAUUCGGAAUUACUGGGCGUAAAGGGCUCGUAGGUGGCCAACUAAGUCGGACGUGAAAUCCCUCAGCUUAACUGGGGAACUGCGUCCGAUACUGGAUGGCUCGAGUUUGGGAGAGGGAUGCGGAAUUCCAGGUGUAGCGGUGAAAUGCGUAGAUAUCUGGAGGAACACCGGUGGCGAAGGCGGCAUCCUGGACCAACACUGACACUGAGGAGCGAAAGCCAGGGGAGCAAACGGG
rnacentral:rRNA from 1 species